UUGACUUGAGCGCCAGCGAGAGAGCGUUGCCGCAGGCAACGACCCGAAGGGCGAAGCGUGCAGCGCUGAGUAAUCCUUCCCCCACCACCA
rnacentral:sRNA from 1 species